GCACAUAUGUGUAUUAUAAAACAUUUUCUACAAAUUCUUUACAUAAACCCUCUUUUGUUUCAAGUAAGGUUUUGUUCUUUUUUCGGUCAAAUAAGCUUUUGUUCUUUAUCCUUAAACAGCCUAACAAUGUCGUCUCUGCAUUACGUUCUGGUGAAUGCUAUAGGAGCAUCUGCAAGGUUCAAAAAAUACCCAGUUGAUUAAAAUAAAUCUAUUUUUAGAUAUUUCACUGAACCAUUGUUUUUUUAUUCUUUUAUAAUAGCACGCAUGUCUCAAACGAGCUAGGAGCUGGAAAUCCAAAGGCAGCUCGAGCCGCGGCUACAUCUGCGGUUUUCCUCGGUGUUAUCGAUGCAACCAUAGUAAGUAUCACCCUCUACACCUACCGAGGAAAUUGGGCUUAUAUAUUCAGCAACGAAAGUGAAGUGGCUCAUUAUGCAACUCAAAUCACACCCAUUUUAUGCCUAUCCAUUGGUGUGGACAGCUUUCUAGCCGUGCUCUCAGGUAGUCAAUUUAUAUCAAAUCAAAAGAAUGUAUACAGUAUAAGGUACACACCGCAAGCAUUGCUGAAUGAGAAGCUCCUAAAGAGAUUACUAAUAUUGCUACUUGACGCCCAAAUCUUAUGUAUUUUUUUUUAAAAAAACCUAGAAUAUUGAUGCUUCAGGGGUUGCUAGAGGAACAGGAUGGCAACAUAUAGGAGCUUAUGCAAAUAUAGGUUCGUAUUAUCUGGCCGGGAUCCCGUUGGGUUCGUUCUUGUGUUUCGUUGUGAAAUUGAGAGGGAAGGGACUCUGGAUUGGUAUUUUAAUAGGCUCUACUCUACAAACAAUAGUCCUUGCGGUUGUCACUUUCUUCACAAGUUGGGAACAAGAGGUAUACGUUUGCUUUUAUUUUAUUCUUAUUAAUUAUUCAUAUGAUCUCUCUUCUUGUUAUUGCUAGAAUUUAGAAUCUUGUUUUGAUUUGGGUUUUAGGCAGCGAAGGCAAGAGACAGAGUAAUCGAGGUGAAACCACAAGACAACCAAGAAUUGCAAAGCAUUUUACAAGAGGAUGUACAAGUUUUGCUAAAGGAUGUUUCAGAAAAUGUGUAAAAUCACUCAACAUAAUGAUAACUACGUGGUCGUAAAUAUAAUUAAUAUAUUGUUCGCAUAUCUUCUAUUGAUAGGAAAUAAGAAUUUGUUUAUUAUCACAAAAGUUGUUGACAAAAAAAAGGGUUUAUUAAUCAAUCUAUACAAAAAAAGGUUUAUUAAUAGGAUCCUAUCUAAUUUUAACCCAUGUUAUACGUUUUUAUUUACUACCUAUGCCACUGAUUUUGGAAAGAUUUCAACAGCUUCAUUAAGGUCAUUCCCGUAAUUUAAAACUUAACGAUUUCUCCCUCUUCUAUUGGCUCUUACUUAAUGAUGUUCUGUAAUAAUAAAGAUGUAGGUCCAAACGUUGUCGAACAAUAUGUCUUGGAAUGUUACUAAUCGUCUCGUUCUGAACCGCAGUUAACAAUAACAAAAAUCUUUACAUAUACCAUAUAUCCAUAUGUUUUUAUGACUGUUAAAACCACACCGCAGUUAAACCGCUUGUCCCGCAUCGCUCAAAUCACAGUUAUCAUUUGGAGCCUAUAUAUCGAAUGUCUUUGAGAAAUAGGUCCAAAGACAAAACGAUGUAGCCUUGCUAAUCAAUAACGUGGAAAACAAUUAUGUAUUUAUUGCACUAUAUCAUUUUACUUGGAAUUCAAGGAUACAUAUUUACUAUGAAAACUAUUUCACCUUUACAUCGUAGAUUUUAUAAAGAUAUUUUAUUCCAACUGAAUUGUAAAUAUUAUAUUUAUAUCUAAAUCUAAGCUAACAAUAAAUCUCUAAAUCUUUUUUGCUUGAUCACUACUCUAGGGAUUUCCUAAACUGAAUCCAAAUAUGCUAGAGAAUUUUUUAAGCGACGCUUAAAAAAACAUCGCCUAACCUAAUAUUAUAUACUAUGAUCGGCCCGCCCUACGGGCGGGAUAUAUUUUACUUAUGAUCUAGAUUAUUAUUAUUUUUGUAUGAUUUGUGGUUUGUCUUAUAGGUUUGCAUUUGCAAACAUGUGUAUAAUAAUGAUUUUUGUCUUUUUGAAAAUUUUAGCUGAGAAGGGAUUAUACGUGAUAAAAUAUAUUUUGCUUGCUUACAAUAGUUAUUUCUGUCGUCCAAAAACAUUAAUUUUACAAUAGUAUAUAUUAGUUAAAUUUUAUCUGCUUUUAUGUUCAACAAAUUUUAUCUACUUAAUUAAAUUAUUUGUAAUGCCUGUUGAAUUUGAUGAUAGUGUAUAAAUGUCUUUUAUCUGUAAUUCAAUGAAAAUAUCAGAAAACUGAAAUUAAAAAAAAAUGAAAGAUGAAUUCAUUUUUUAAAAGAUGACUUUUUUUAUGUUUAUAUGAAAGUUAUAUAUAUAAUAGUUAUUUUAUUAUUAUUUUAUCGAAUUAAGUUAUAUUUUACAUAUGUCCAGUUCAAGACCAGUAAAAUUUAUGAUUAGGUAUUUAUUCAUCUACGAGUAAUAAUUUAUAGAUUUUCUCCUAUAUGUAUUAUUAUGUUAUUACUAUUUUGUGUUGAUAUAAUGAAUCUCCAUGUUAUCGGUUAAAUAGUUAUAUUGCCUGGCAUUGUAGACUAAAGGAAGAACUUCAUUGUACAGUUUGUUAAGAAAAUAUAUUUCAAACUGAAGGAACAUAUAAUGGAGUUUAAAUUUUGAAGUUUUGUACGAUUCAUAUUUGAAGUUCUUUACUUUAAAGUCCUUGAAAUUAUCUGUUUUUCAAAUAACAUAGUUAACUUUUAUUGUUAUCACUUUAGUCUUUAUAAUUUUAUUCUUAUACAAUUAAGAACAUCUUGCGGUUAACUAUAGUAUGUGGACUGCAUCAUUAUUGAAGGAAAAAAUAGAGCUUUGAAACAAACAAUGGAGCUCCACUAUAUUUUGCGAGUUAUAAUAAUAUUUCUUGAAAAAAAAGUUCACUUAGUGUACUGGAAGACAAUCAUUUAAUUCCAAAUUCAAUAAUAAUUCUAAAUAAUCAAAACCCAAAUAACCCAUAGUUGGAGUGCUCAGUGUUUGCUAGUUUUCUUUGAACUUGGGGCCUUUUUCAUCAUCAAUAGGAGUCUCGGUGGAGGUUAUGACUGAAUCAGUAUGCGUAGGCUAUGGGUCUGUGCUGGCUGGACGUCCUUCAAUAACUGGAACAGCAUCAGAUGCCCGUUUGUGUGAACCGAACACUGCGUUUCACCACUGUAUUUGGGACCACAGAAAAUUUUACAGCAGCCACAUCAUCAGAAACUCCACAGUUAAUAUUCAAAUGUGAAGCUUAGUAAAUGAGCUAAAGCAGAAAGCUAAGUAAUAACAAAUCUCUUAUUUAGUUAUUUUCAAAUAAAAGACGUUUUGAUAAGGUAAUUGUGCGCAGCAUGAAAAGGAGAGACAACGCAAACAACACAUGUAUCUGGUCAUGCUAUUACAGUGAUCCUUAUGCAGUGAACGUACCUAGGGAUGAGUUGAGAACGUAGCUAUUAAUUUCAGAUAAUGUGACGGAUUCAAUUUUCUUAACAUCACCAUACUUGGAAGAUGUGGCAGAGGAACCACUCUUUGCUCUACGGAGCCUGCAGUUGGUGUCUUUAAUGUGGGAAGUGUGUCACCGAUAUGACAUUGAGGAAUACAUGACCUGCACAGACAGAUUAAGAGAGCAUGAAAACUGAUGUGUUCCUGUUCUUGUAAAUGACAUUCUCUCUCACUUCAUUCAUUCUCUGUCUAAAAUGGAAAGAGCCAUGGUCCCGACAUGCAAAACAGACCUAGUUUACCAGCCAUUGUGAACAUUUUUGAGCAGGAAAACCUUAGCAUCUCAGUCAGCUAAAGCCAAAUCUGCCCAAAACCAGAGCAAUACGAAACAGCAAUGGGUUUCAGACUUGAUAAGAGUGAUCAAGAGUCUUUUUACCUUCAUUGUUGUUGCCCACCAUGAGAUAUGCUUAUGAAGCUCUGAACUCAAGCUUUCCAUCUCAAAUUAUCAAUCUACAGAGGAAGCUCCACCCAUACGUAAUUAAAUAGGGCAAAUCUCCAAAAUAGCAACUUUCUAAGUUUAUAUCACAAAAAUAGCAAUCAAAAACAUUACCUUUUUAUAGAGUGGAGAAUCACCGACUGCAAGAGGAAUAAGAGUCAUUGAAUGAGGGAUCGUGGCUGUUGUGGGUCGAAAGAGUUAAGAAAUCCCUAAUGGUGAUGAAUCAAUCAAACUUGUAACGGUUAGGAGGUGACGAAUCGAUAGCGAAACGACAUGAACAGUCACGGAAGUUUCGACUCACACGACCUUUCAGAACCUCCGUUGAUGGUAGACGAAAUCAGAUUAUGGGGGAGACGAUUAACCCUAUACUCGAGAAGGAGAUGAACGCAAACAACAGGUCAAGUAUUUUAUCGAAAAAAGAAAUAAUGGGCCAAGUUUUUGUUUGUCUCUUAGGCCAACACAUAUUAUUCAAAACCUAGAAAUAAUCAAACCGUAUAAGCCCAAAAGAAAAUCAAAGCUCAGCAAAGCUUUUUCAUUUACGAUGACACGUGUCGCACCGUCAAGAGUCAAGUUUCUGACGUGGCAUCCUACGUGGCUUAACCAGGAGGAAGUAAACUCUUCUUUAUAUAUAAAGAUACAUCCAUAACGUAGCUAACUUUUCUGAGUUUCUCACAUCUACUCACAGCUACAAUAUCAAAAAAAAAAAACCUAAAAUGUCUUCAAUAAUGCAAAUUACCUCUUUGACAGAGUUGAGAUAAGCCAAGACAGGUCCAAAAACCUUCUUCCAUGGCUCUCCAUAACUAAUUUUUGGUAUUAGCAUGAUCUUCCUUUUGUAUUUGGUAAAUGUUCACUUCCAACGUAUUUGUCUUUAUCCAAAUUUAU
rnacentral:lncRNA from 1 species